rnacentral:rRNA from 1 species
GGAGGGCAUCCUCUUGGGAUUAAAGGAGCGAUCCGGCUGCGGAUGGUCAUGCGGCGCAUUAGCUUGUUGGCGGGGUAACGGCCCACCAAGGCGACGAUGCGUAGGGGUUCUGAGAGGAAGGUCCCCCACACAGGUACUGAGACACGGACCAGACUCCUACGGGAGGCAGCAGUGAGGAAUAUUGGUCAAUGGCCGGGAGGCUGAACCAGCCAAGUCGCGUGAGGGAAGACGGCCCUACGGGUUGUAAACCUCUUUUGCCGGGGAGCAAAUGGCGGGACGCGUCCCGCGUCGAGAGUACCCGGAGAAAAAGCAUCGGCUAACUCCGUGCCAGCAGCCGCGGUAAUACGGAGGAUGCGAGCGUUAUCCGGAUUUAUUGGGUUUAAAGGGUGCGCAGGCGGGAUGUCAAGUCAGCGGUAAAAUCGGGAGGCUCAACCUCUCUCAGCCGUUGAAACUGGCGUUCUUGAGUGGGCGAGAAGUAUGCGGAAUGCGUGGUGUAGCGGUGAAAUGCAUAGAUAUCACGCAGAACCCCGAUUGCGAAGGCAGCAUACCGGCGCCCGACUGACGCUCAUGCACGAAAGCGUGGGUAUCGAACAGGAUUAGAUACCCUGGUAGUCCACGCAGUAAACGAUGAAUACUCGCUGUGCGGC